AACGAACGCUGGCGGCAGGCUUAACACAUGCAAGUCGAGCGCCCCGCAAGGGGAGCGGCAGACGGGUGAGUAACGCGUGGGAAUCUACCCAUCUCUACGGAAUAACGCAUGGAAACGUGUGCUAAUACCGUAUACGUCCUUCGGGAGAAAGAUUUAUCGGAGAUGGAUGAGCCCGCGUUGGAUUAGCUAGUUGGUGGGGUAAAGGCCUACCAAGGCGACGAUCCAUAGCUGGUCUGAGAGGAUGAUCAGCCACACUGGGACUGAGACACGGCCCAGACUCCUACGGGAAGCAGAAGAGGGGAAUAUUGGACAAUGGGAGCAAGCCUGAUCCAGCCAUGCCGCGUGAGUGAUGAAGGCCCUAGGGUUGUAAAGCUCUUUCGUCCGGGACGAUAAUGACGGUACCGGAAGAAGAAGCCCCGGCUAACUUCGUGCCAGCCGCCGCGGUAAAAC
rnacentral:rRNA from 1 species